GCCUUGGAAACGAGGUCUAAUACCAAAGUACCUUCCUUUUAACACAUGUUAAAAGAGAAAUGCUCCGGCGCUUUGGGAUGGUCUCGCGAUCUAUCAGCUUGUUGGUGAGGUAAACGGGCUCACCAAGGCAUCGACGGAUAGCUGGUCUGAGAGGAUGUCCAGCCACAUUGGAACUGAGACACGGUCCAAACUCCUACGGGAGGCAGCAGUAGGGAAUCUUGCACAAUGAGGGAAACCUUGAUGCAGCGACGCCGCGUGCGGGACGAAGGCCCUAGGGUUGUAAACCGCUUUCAGUAGGGACGAAAGUGACGGUACCUACAGAAGAAGCCCCGGCCAACUAUGUG
rnacentral:rRNA from 1 species